rnacentral:rRNA from 1 species
GCGUUGUUCGGAAUUACUGGGCGUAAAGCGUACGCAGGCGGUUGAUCAAGUCAGGUGUGAAAGCCCGGGGCUCAACCUCGGAAUUGCGCCUGAGACUGGUCGGCUAGAGUUCGGAAGAGGAGAGUGGAAUUCCCAGUGUAGAGGUGAAAUUCGUAGAUAUUGGGAAGAACACCAGUGGCGAAGGCGACUCUCUGGUCCGAUACUGACGCUCAAGUACGAAAGCGUG